rnacentral:rRNA from 1 species
GACGAACGCUGGCGGCGUGCUUAACACAUGCAAGUCGAACGGAAAGGCCCUGCUUUUGUGGGGUGCUCGAGUGGCGAACGGGUGAGUAACACGUGAGUAACCUGCCCUUGACUUUGGGAUAACUUCAGGAAACUGGGGCUAAUACCGGAUAGGAGCUCCUGCUGCAUGGUGGGGGUUGGAAAGUUUCGGCGGUUGGGGAUGGACUCGCGGCUUAUCAGCUUGUUGGUGGGGUAGUGGCUUACCAAGGCUUUGACGGGUAGCCGGCCUGAGAGGGUGACCGGCCACAUUGGGACUGAGAUACGGCCCAGACUCCUACGGGAGGCAGCAGUGGGGAAUAUUGCACAAUGGGCGGAAGCCUGAUGCAGCAACGCCGCGUGCGGGAUGACGGCCUUCGGGUUGUAAACCGCUUUCGCCUGUGACGAAGCGUGAGUGACGGUAAUGGGUAAAGAAGCACCGGCUAACUACGUGCCACCAGCCGCGGUGAUACGUACGGUGCGAGCGUUGUCCGGAUUUAUUGGGCGUAAAGGGCUCGUAGGUGGUUGAUCGCGUCGGAAGUGUAAUCUUGGGGCUUAACCCUGAGCGUGCUUUCGAUACGGGUUGACUUGAGGAAGGUAGGGGAGAAAUGGAAUUCCUGGUGGAGCGGUGGAAUGCGCAGAUAUCAGGAGGAACACCAGUGGCGAAGGCGGUUCUCUGGGCCUUUCCUGACGCUGAGGAGCGAAAGCGUGGGGAGCGAACAGGCUUAGAUACCCUGGUAGUCCACGCUGUAAACGGUGGGUACUAGGUGUGGGGUCCAUUCCACGGGUUCCGUGCCGUAGCUAACGCUUUAAGUACCCCGCCUGGGGAGUACGGCCGCAAGGCUAAAACUCAAAGGAAUUGACGGGGCCCCGCACAAGCGGCGGAGCAUGCGGAUUAAUUCGAUGCAACGCGUAGAACCUUACCUGGGUUUGACAUGGAUCGGGAGUGCUCAGAGAUGGGUGUGCCUCUUUUGGGGUCGGUUCACAGGUGGUGCAUGGCUGUCGUCAGCUCGUGUCGUGAGAUGUUGGGUUAAGUCCCGCAGCGAGCGCAACCCUUGUUCACUGUUGCCAGCACGUUAUGGUGGGGACUCAGUGGAGACCGCCGGGGUCAACUCGGAGGAAGGUGGGGAUGACGUCAAGUCAUCAUGCCCCUUAUGUCCAGGGCUUCACGCAUGCUACAAUGGCUGGUACAGAGAGUGGCGAGCCUGUGAGGGUGAGCGAAUCUCGGAAAGCCGGUCUCAGUUCGGAUUGGGGUCUGCAACUCGACCUCAUGAAGUCGGAGUCGCUAGUAAUCGCAGAUCAGCAACGCUGCGGUGAAUACGUUCCCGGG